rnacentral:rRNA from 1 species
GACGAACGCUGGCGGCGUGCCAAAUACAUGCAAGUCGAACGCUUCCUACCGGUGCUUGCACCGGGAAAGAAGAGUGGCGGACGGGUGAGUAACACGUGGGUAACCUACCUACAAGCGGGGGAUAACAUUCGGAAACGGAUGCUAAUACCGCAUAGAUCUUUUUGUCUCCUGGCAGAAAGAAGAAAGACGGUUUCGGCUGUCACUUGUAGAUGGACCCGCGGCGCAUUAGUUAGUUGGUGAGGUAAUGGCACACCAAGACGAUGAUGCGUAGCCGACCUGAGAGGGUGAUCGGCCACACUGGGACUGAGACACGGGCCAGACUCCUACGGGAGGCAGCAGUAGGGAAUCUUCCGCAAUGGACGAAAGUCUGACGGAGCAACGCCGCGUGAGUGAAGAAGGUUUUCGGAUCGUAAAACUCUGUUGUUAGAGAAGAACAAGGAUGAGAGUAACUGCUCGUCCCUUGACGGUAUCUAACCAGAAAGCCAUGGCUAACUACGUGCCAGCAGCCGCAGUAA